rnacentral:rRNA from 1 species
AUGAUGACAAGAAGUCCCACAUACACUGUUCCAUCGACAUCGAAAAAUUUGCAGCUCCAAUUCACGACUAGGCUUUCUCUUCCAAUUUUCACUGGCUCCAAGGUUGAAGGCGAGGGUACCUUAAGUAUUGCUCUAGUUGACACUUUGACCAGAGAGGUUGUAGUAAUGGGUAAGGAGUCCCUGUUGAAGGUCGAAAUUGUAGUUCUAGAGGGUGACUUUGAAGACGGAGAAGGCAAUGACUGGAUAGCUCAGGAGUUCAAUACUAACAUCGUUAGAGAAAGACAAGGUAAACAGCCCUUGCUUUCUGGAGAUGUGUUUGUUGGUCUUGAUAGAGGCAUUGGUAGAGUGGGAGAUGUAUCAUUCACAGAGCUGGACAUGCAGCCGAAAAGUUCAGGUUAA